UGGGGAAUAUUGCGCAAUGGGGGAAACCCUGACGCAGCAACGCCGCGUGAAGGAAGAAGGCCUUCGGGUUGUAAACUUAUGUCUUUAGGGAAGAGUAGAAGACGGUACCUAAGGAGGAAGCCACGGCUAACUACGUGCCAGCAGCCGCGGUAAUACGUAGGUGGCAAGCGUUAUCCGGAAUUACUGGGUGUAAAGGGAGCGUAGGCGGGACUUUAAGUCAGAUGUGAAAUACUGAGGCUCAACCUCAGGGCUGCAUUUGAAACUGGAGUUCUUGAGUGUCGGAGAGGUAAGUGGAAUUCCUAGUGUAGCGGUGAAAUGCGUAGAUAUUAGGAGGAACAUCGGUGGCGAAGGCGACUUACUGGACGAUAACUGACGCUGAGGCUCGAAAGUGUGGGGAGCAAACA
rnacentral:rRNA from 1 species